CAAUAGCGUAUAUUAAAGUUGUUGCAGUUAAAAAGCUCGUAGUUGGAUUUCGGGGCAGCCUGGCUGGUCCGCCGCAAGGCGAGUACUGGUCAGCCGCCCUUCCUCUCGAAAGCCCCGACUGCUCUUCGUUGCAGUGGUCGGGUAGUUCGGGACGUUUACUUUGAAAAAAUUAGAGUGUUCAAGGCAGGCCUACGCCUGAAUACAUUAGCAUGGAAUAAUGGAAGAGGACCUCGGUCCUAUUUUGUUGGUUUCCAGGGCCGAAGUAAUGAUUAAGAGGGACAGUUGGGGGCAUUCGUAUUUAAUUGUCAGAGGUGAAAUUCUCGGAUUUAUGAAAGACGGACAACUGCGAAAGCAUUUGCCAAGGAUGUUUUCAUUAA
rnacentral:rRNA from 1 species